GAUGAACGCUGGCGGCGUGCUUAACACAUGCAAGUCGAACGAUGAAGCCCAGCUUGCUGGGUGGAUUAGUGGCGAACGGGUGAGUAACACGUGAGUAACCUGCCCUUAACUCUGGGAUAAGCCUGGGAAACUGGGUCUAAUACCGGAUAGGAGCGUCCACCGCAUGGUGGGUGUUGGAAAGAUUUAUCGGUUUUGGAUGGACUCGCGGCCUAUCAGCUUGUUGGUGAGGUAAUGGCUCACCAAGGCGACGACGGGUAGCCGGCCUGAGAGGGUGACCGGCCACACUGGGACUGAGACACGGCCCAGACUGCUACGGGAGGCAGCAGUGGGGAAUAUUGCACAAUGGGCGCAAGCCUGAUGCAGCGACGCCGCGUGAGGGAUGACGGCCUUCGGGUUGUAAACCUCUUUCAGUAGGGAAGAAGCGAAAGUGACGGUACCUGAAGAAGAAGCACCGGCUAACUACGUG
rnacentral:rRNA from 1 species